rnacentral:rRNA from 1 species
UAAUACGUAGGGUGCGAGCGUUAAUCGGAAUUACUGGGCGUAAAGCGUGCGCAGGCGGUUCGCUAAGACCGAUGUGAAAUCCCCGGGCUUAACCUGGGAACUGCAUUGGUGACUGGCGGGCUAGAGUAUGGCAGAGGGGGGUAGAAUUCCACGUGUAGCAGUGAAAUGCGUAGAGAUGUGGAGGAAUACCGAUGGCGAAGGCAGCCCCCUGGGCCAAUACUGACGCUCAUGCACGAAAGCGUGGGGAGCAAACAGGAUUAGAUACCCUGGUAGUCCACGCCCUAAACGAUGUCAACUAGUUGUUGGGGAUUCAUUUCCUUAGUAACGAAGCUAACGCGUGAAGUUGACCGCCUGGGGAGUACGGUCGCAAGAUU